AAGGGGAUGUAUACUACAAUGUGAACGAGGUCAAGUGGGGGAUGUAUACUACAAUGUGAACGAGGUUGAGUGGGGGGAUGUAUGUUACAUUGUGAACCAGGUUGAGUGGGGGAUGUAUAUUACAUUGUGAACCAGGUUGAGUGGGGGAUGUAUAUUACAUUGUGAACCAGGUUGAGUGGGGGAUGUAUAUUACAUUGUGAACCAGGUUGAGUGGGGGAUGUGUAUUACAUUGUGAACCAGGUUGAGUGGGGGAUGUGUAUUACAUUGUGAACCAGGUUGAGUGGGGGAUGUGUAUUACAUUGUGAACCAGGUUGAGUGGGGGAUGUAUAUUACAUUGUGAACCAGGUUGAGUGGGGGAUGUAUAUUACAUUGUGAACCAGGUUGAGUGGGGGAUGUGUAUUACAUUGUGAACCAGGUUGAGUGGGGGAUGUAUAUGACAU
rnacentral:lncRNA from 1 species